rnacentral:lncRNA from 1 species
AACCAGUUCAGCUUAUUUCCUACUGGGAGUGAGACAAGUGGCGCAGUCAUGGGAGAAAGGUCACCUAAAGAGAAAUUAACUGAACAGUCAGGGCAUAAAUCAAAGGGGAAAGAGUCACUUUUAUACAUCCGUCUCCAUGAUUUUCAUGUCCAAUUUAUCAACAAGUUCUCAAUUGUUCCACCAAGAGUACUUGAAUCCGUCACUCCUUUUUUUUUUUUUUUUUAAAGACAGCAUCUCACUCUGUGGCCCAGGCUGGAGUGUGGUGGCACUAUCACAGUUCAUUACAGCCUCAACGUCUCGGACUCAGAUGAUCCUGCCACCUCAAUCUCCCAAGUAGUUGGGACCACAGAAGUGAUUCAGCACUCAGGAUUAUUGCCCACACCCCUACGAUUGCACCCCCAAGCAAUCACCAGCAAGCACCCAAUGCCUAGCCAUCCCCACCCCUUCCCCCAAACUACCUUUGAAAAACCCCUAACCUACCAGCCUUCAAUGAGAUUGAUUUGAGUAAUAACUCCAUCUCCAGUGUGGAGUGGCCAGCCUCACAUCAAUUAAACUCUUUCUUUACUGCAAUGCUAUGGUCUUUGUUUGUGCAGCAGGCAGGAAGAACUCCUCAGGCAGUUACACUUCGAGCCUUAAGACACCUUGAUGUCAGACUUCCAGUGCCCUGAAUUGUGACAGAAUAAAUUUCUGUUGUUUUAAAACU